rnacentral:rRNA from 1 species
AUUGAACGCUAGCGGGAUGCCUUACACAUGCAAGUCGAACGGAGUGGCGAACGGGUGAGUAAUGUAUCGGAACGUGCCCAGUAGCGGGGGAUAACUACGCGAAAGCGUAGCUAAUACCGCAUACUAUUGGAGCGGCCGAUAUCGGAUUAGCUAGUGGGGGGGGUAACGGCUCACCAAGGCGACGAUCCGUAGCUGGUUUGAGAGGACGACCAGCCAAACGGGAAUGGAGACACGGCCCAGACUCCUACGGGAGGCAGCAGGGGGGAAUUUUGGAAAAUGGGGGAAACCCGGAUCCAGCCAUCCGGCGUGUGCGAGGAAGGCCUGCGGGUGGUAAAGCACGUUUGGCAGGAAAGCGGUACCUGCAGAAUAAGCACCGGCUAACUACGUGCCAGCAGCCGCGGUAAUAC